rnacentral:rRNA from 1 species
GAUGAACGCUGGCGGCGUGCUUAACACAUGCAAGUCGAACGAAGCACUUUAUUUGAUUUCCUUCGGGACUGAUUAUUUUGUGACUGAGUGGCGGACGGGUGAGUAACGCGUGGGUAACCUGCCUUGUACAGGGGGAUAACAGUUGGAAACGGCUGCUAAUACCGCAUAAGCGCACGGCAUCGCAUGAUGCAGUGUGAAAAACUCCGGUGGUAUAAGAUGGACCCGCGUUGGAUUAGCUAGUUGGUGAGGUAACGGCCCACCAAGGCGACGAUCCAUAGCCGAGCUGGGAGGGUGACCGGCCACACUGGGACUGAGACACAGCCCGAACUCCUACGGGAGGCAGCAGUGGGGAAUAUUGCACAAUGGGCGAAAGCCUGAUGCAGCGACGACGCGUGAGCGAAGAAGUAUUUCGGGAUGUAAAGCUCUAUCAGCAGGGAAGAUAAUGACGGUACCUGACUAAGAAGCACCGGCUAAAUACGUG